AUAAGUUUUGGCUAAGACCAAGUGUAGUAUCUGUUCUUAUCAGUUUAAUAUCUGAUAUGUCCUCUGUUUGAGGACCAUAUAUUAAAUGGAUUUUUAGAGCUGGGAGAUGGAAUAAGGGCUUGCUCCAUCCACUCCAUGCAUCGACCUGGGAUUGCAGUACCUCCAGGAACAGUGCACAAAAA
ensembl:snRNA U2 U2 spliceosomal RNA